GUGAAGGAACAGAGUCAAGCGGGUAUCCUCCUGGCAGCCUGUUGAGUCGCAUCAAGAUUUCAGGUACCGUGAGGAGGCGCAUAGCUGAAGUUUGGAAACGGCAGCACCGAAGCGGACGUAGAGAACGUGUCGCCGUCCACGUCCGGCUGACGAUGGAUUUUGUCCGGUUGUCUUGCAAAAGCUAAGUGUCGGGGCCAGUAGGUGGGAGAAGGGGAAAAACCUUUACUAUCACAGGAGACAAUUAGAUGUUAGCUUAGAGGAGAGGCCCAUAGUGGGACGGGCCCCUCGGAAGCAGAGGGAGAGGGUUUCUCCUCAGCCUCACCAGAGUCUUCGCCGGGCAGGGCAGUUCCGAUCCAUCUUCGCGUCCUCGCGAGGUUUGCGUCGGCGGCCUUCUUCGACUCUCGACAUCGUCGUGGAUCUUUUCACCCGAGGAGCCCGCCUUCACGUCCGGAGCUCUAGCCACGGUCACGCCGUAGUCAUCGCUUUCUUGUCUAGGCCUACUGAGCUUCUUAGGCUUCCUCUUAAGUCCUUUGGCACUAACAUCUUGAAAGGAGUUAAAUUUCAUCAUCACAUGCUAUUGCCCUAGGGCUUUCUUUCCUUUGGCAUCAUCGGCCUAUGACUCAUCUUGGACUAGCAAUCUUGGGUCCAUAAGGUGGAACUGGCAGGCAGUUUCCACUCGUGUCUGUGUUAUGUCGUCCGUGUCUGUGUUAUGUCGUCCGUGUCUGUGUUAUGUCGUCCGUGUCUGUGUUAUGUCGUCCGUGUCCAUUGAUUUCUGCGUCAUAGGCCUUUGUUACAUCUCGAGGCUUUAUCGGCAUUGUUCUCUGCCGUAUCGGCCAUAUUUUACUCGUGUACCUUCCUGGAUAUCGCUUAUUCCGGCAUCGUUACAUUUUUACUUUUUGAGACGGGAAGAAGUACAGGAGACGUUCUCAUCCAUCUUCCUUCUCACCUUUGGUAGCGCCUUCUCUUCACAUGCUAUUCUCUCGGACUUCUAGAGGGAGCAUAUUAGACCCUCAUCACCUGACCGCAGUAGUUCCGUAGCUUGCGCCUUCUCAAAGGGUAUAGGGCUCAACAAUUAAUCUUCCGGAGAGUUACGUCAAGUCCUCGCUUAUAUUGUAUCUACGUCGGCAUAUAUUGUACGUGCUUAGGUUGUACCUACCUAUGUUGGCUUAUACUGUAUGUGCUUAUAUUGUAUGUACUUAUGUCGUAUGUACCUAUGUCGGUUUAUAUUGUAUGUACUUAUACUGUAUGUACCUACGUUGGCUUAUAUUGUGCAUAUAUUGUAUGUACCUACCUUGGCUUAUGUUGUACACGCCUCUGUCGCGCCACUUACGAUCGGAGCUGCCCUGCCCAGGCACGUAGUCACGGUUAGGUAGAGCAGUUAUAAAACUUUACAGUUCAUCUGUCUUCUAUGGGGGUUUUGGGUACAAAAUUUAUGGGCCCGGAGCGGGAACAGCUCCUAGCCGUCAGAUAGUCACUCGUCGACCGCCUCCCGUCGUCUCUGUCGUCUCGCAGGUCCCCGGAUCCCUACACGUUAUCCCGGAAUCUACCGCCGGACAUCGAAGAGCCGCGGUCAGAAGACGCGUCGAAGCGUCAACGUAGCGUUUCAAGUAAGGGUCGCGGUCAGCGUGUAAGCGGAAGAGCG